rnacentral:lncRNA from 1 species
AGCAGUAUUAGAGAAAGAGGGGACAAUUCGUCACCCACCUAAAAGUAGUUGAAUAUCAAAAUAUAUCAAUUUUAUUUCUGCAUCAUAAAUUUAUAAUUUUAACAACUUUGAUCAUUAGCUAAUAUAGUAAUACAAAAAAAUGAGAAAAAAGAUGUUAAUAUUCCUCAUUUCCAUAAAGUGCAGAUUUAAUUUUCAAUUAUUUGCCUUAGUAAACAUUGUCUUAUUUCAGGUACUCCCUGCCCUCACUCAAAAAAAAGGGAGGGUGUUUAAUUUUUAUUGAACAAAUAUGUAAUACCAAGAAAAAGAUGAAAGACCCAAUAAUGUUUUUUGCAAACAUGUUUCCAGGUAAGAUUUCCAAGGACAUCAGUACUGAGUGAAAAAUAAUCCUUUACAGUCAAUAUGAAUGAAUACACUAACAAGUACAUCAUUUAGAUCUCCAUGCUUAUUUGGCAAUUCCAGUUAUGAAAAAGGUACAUAAAUAGUACAAACAAUUGGCUUGACAUGUGGCCAAACUACUUUCAUCGAAGUUGCUGGAAGCCUUUCUCUGGUUUUGGCCCCUGUAGGAAGUUAAUCUCAUAUUCCCUUAGCAAUAAUAUAAGGUCACUGUUUCAGUCCUACACACUUUUAUAUUCAAUGGGCUUCUUAGUUUAUCACAUAAGGACUGGCACUUUUUUCAAAAGAAUAUUGCUAACAGGGUUAAAUGAGUGCUAAUGGCUGAACGUUUGCCAAAUGCUUACUUCUGCGAUAGUAUAAAUAUGGAUUAUUAAAGUUGUCUACUCAAGUAUAAAAUAUAUGCAAAACUCUCAUAGGCAAAAUGUUCAAAGGCCGGGAAAAACCUUUUUUUUUUUUUUUUUUUUUUAACUUUUACGAGAAAGUGCAACUGCAGGGUCUCUUGAAUGAUCUUCUAGACAGUUCCGCAGAAAAUUAGCAGUUUGGCUCAGAAAGUAGAGUUCCUCAGGAGGAAUUAAAGUUCUUCCUAGAAGAAUACAAAGCAACGUUUCAGGCAGCUUUCUGAAAAUAAACCAUUAGCUUAUGCCUACACAGCGAGACAAACUGGAACGUGUAAUAAUGAAGGCUUUCACAUUUGUUGUGAUGUGCUUUUUUUCUCUUACCCCAGGACCUCUAGCUGUUCUGUAAUGUUACAUAAAGUAGUUAUAGCACUUCGUCCAGCACUGACAGCAGGCAGGAAGCUAAUCAGCGAGGAGAAAAUCGGAAGUGUGUUCAUGUGUUUCAUUGUUUUUCAGGUCAAAUCUCAAUACUUGC